AUUGAACGCUGGCGGCAUGCCUAACACAUGCAAGUCGAGCGGAGCGGCCGACGGGUGAGUAAUUCCUAGGAAUCUGCCUGGUCGUGGGGGAUGACGUCCGGAACCGGGCGCUAAUACCGCAUCCUCUCAGAUGAGCCUAGGUGGGAUUCGCUUGUUGGUGGGGUAACGGCCCACCAAGGCGACGAUCCCUAGCUGGUCUGAGAGGAUGACCAGCCACACUGGAACUGAGACACGGUCCAGACUCCUACGGGAGGCAGCAGUGGGGAAUAUUGCACAAUGGGCGCAAGCCUGAUGCAGCCAUGCCGCGUGUGUGAAGAAGGCCUUCGGAUUGUAAAGUACUGUCAGCGGGGAGGCGUUACCCGCAGAAGAAGCACCGGCUAACUACGUGCCAGCAGCCGCGGUAAUAC
rnacentral:rRNA from 1 species